AGAGUUUGAUCCUGGCUCAGGAUGAACGCUAGCUACAGGCUUAACACAUGCAAGUCGAGGGGCAGCAUGGUCUUAGCUUGCUAAGGCCGAUGGCGACCGGCGCACGGGUGAGUAACGCGUAUCCAACCUGCCUUACACUCUUGGACAGCCUUCUGAAAGGAAGAUUAAUACAAGAUGGCAUCAUGAGUCCGCAUGUUCACAUGAUUAAAGGUAUUCCGGUAGACGAUGGGGAUGCGUUCCAUUAGAUAGUAGGCGGGGUAACGGCCCACCUAGUCUUCGAUGGAUAGGGGUUCUGAGAGGAAGGUCCCCCACAUUGGAACUGAGACACGGUCCAAACUCCUACGGGAGGCAGCAGUGAGGAAUAUUGGUCAAUGGGCGAGAGCCUGAACCAGCCAAGUAGCGUGAAGGAUGACUGCCCUAUGGGUUGUAAACUUCUUUUAUAAAGGAAUAAAGUCGGGUAUGGAUACCCGUUUGCAUGUACUUUAUGAAUAAGGAUCGGCUAACUCCGUGCCAGCAGCCGCGGUAAUACGGAGGAUCCGAGCGUUAUCCGGAUUUAUUGGGUUUAAAGGGAGCGUAGAUGGAUGUUUAAGUCAGUUGUGAAAGUUUGCGGCUCAACCGUAAAAUUGCAGUUGAUACUGGAUAUCUUGAGUGCAGUUGAGGCAGGCGGAAUUCGUGGUGUAGCGGUGAAAUGCUUAGAUAUCACGAAGAACUCCGAUUGCGAAGGCAGCCUGCUAAGCUGCAACUGACAUUGAGGCUCGAAAGUGUGGGUAUCAAACAGGAUUAGAUACCCUGGUAGUCCACACGGUAAACGAUGAAUACUCGCUGUUUGCGAUAUACGGCAAGCGGCCAAGCGAAAGCGUUAAGUAUUCCACCUGGGGAGUACGCCGGCAACGGUGAAACUCAAAGGAAUUGACGGGGGCCCGCACAAGCGGAGGAACAUGUGGUUUAAUUCGAUGAUACGCGAGGAACCUUACCCGGGCUUAAAUUGCAGAUGAAUUACGGUGAAAGCCGUAAGCCGCAAGGCAUCUGUGAAGGUGCUGCAUGGUUGUCGUCAGCUCGUGCCGUGAGGUGUCGGCUUAAGUGCCAUAACGAGCGCAACCCUUGCCGAUAGUUACUAACAGGUUAUGCUGAGGACUCUGUCGGGACUGCCAUCGUAAGAUGUGAGGAAGGUGGGGAUGACGUCAAAUCAGCACGGCCCUUACGUCCGGGGCUACACACGUGUUACAAUGGGGGGUACAGAAGGCAGCUACACGGCGACGUGAUGCUAAUCCCGAAAGCCUCUCUCAGUUCGGAUUGGAGUCUGCAACCCGACUCCAUGAAGCUGGAUUCGCUAGUAAUCGCGCAUCAGCCACGGCGCGGUGAAUACGUUCCCGGGCCUUGUACACACCGCCCGUCAAGCCAUGAAAGCCGGGGGUACCUGAAGUGCGUAACCGCAAGGAGCGCCCUAGGGUAAAACUGGUGAUUGGGGCUAAGUCGUAACAAGGUAGCCGUACCGGAAGGUGCGGCUG
rnacentral:rRNA from 1 species